GAACACUUUGUUCUAACAAGUAAUAAACUGAACAGACAAAAUCAACAACUUUUCUUGGAUCCAUAACAUAUGACAACACAGGGAAAACUGCUAUCCCCAAGAUUAGACAGACAAGCAAAUGCAGAAAGUCAUGGCUUAUAGGAACAGAGACUCAUCAGCAAAAAACCACUAUAGGGACCAGUGCCUGUUAGGAAAACUUCGACUGUAACUGAAGAUUUGCUCUAAGCUUAAUGCAGACAACUCUGAGAGUUAAAAGUUCCAGGAGGACCAAGUCACAGGGAGAGAGCAUAAUAUUGUGAGUUUUACCUUCAGAACUUCAAGCAGGUUCCCAAAGUAAAUAUCAGAGAAAAAUCCCCCUCGUUCAGGCGGAGACAGGAGAAAAGGAACCAUUUUGAAAUAUACGAUAGCACGCUGUUUCUUAACAAGGCCUGACCUCAGGAGAAAGUAGUUAACCAAGGCCUAACCUGCUGGUGCAUUAUCAGAGCCUAACUGACCUCGAGAAAGGGAAAUGCCCAAUUCUAGUCAGUUCUAACUUUCCAUUUGGGAGAAUGGAAUGACCCAACUUCAGCCCACUGUAGCCAUCCUUUCUCACCUAAGGGAGGAGAACAAAACUGAGAAACACUUGUGAAGUUCACAGUCCAGAAGUAUAAACUCACGAAAAAAGUAAGACUAUGAAAAGACUAUCAAAUGCUUCCUCUGCACACCCCUCCCCCAAUUUGCAAUCGCAUUAAUAUUUACAACAGGUUAUUACAAGGCACACAGAAAGGCAAAAUAAAAAAUAAAAUCAGAAUUAAAAUAAGUAUCAAAACUAGACAUGGCAAGGAUGUUGGAAUUUUCAGACUAAUUUUUAAAAACUUGAUUAACAUGCGAAUAGCUCUAAUGAAAAGUAGACAGCAUGAAAGAAAAGAUGAACAAUAAAAGCAGAAAUAUAAAAAAUCUUAAAGAAUCAAGAAGAAAUGCUAGAGAAAAAAAACAGAAAAAAGAGUACCUUUGAAGGUAUUAGUAGUAGACGAGACAUGGCCGGUGAAAGAAUCUCUAAACUUGAUGGUAUAUUAAUAAAAAUUUCAAACACUUACAGGAAAGAGAACAAGCACUGAAAAAAAAACCAACAGAAUAUCUGAAGACUGUGGGACAACUGCAAAAUCUCUAACAUCUCUCUAAUGAAAAUUCCAUAAGGAGAAAAGAAACGAUAGGAACAGAAGAAAUAUUUGAAACAAUAAUGACUGAGAUUUUCCCCAAAUGAAUGUAAGACAGCAAACCAGAGAUCCAAGAAGCUCAGAAAACACAAAGCAAAAUAAAUAUAAAACAAAACAAAAACUCCAAAUGAUGCCUAGGCAUAUCAUUUUUAAACUAUAAAAAAACAAACAAGAAGAAAAAAUCCUGAGAGCAGUCAGAGGAUAGAGACACUUUACCUCUAAAACAAUAAUUACAUCUGACUUCCCUUGCACUUUUCAGUGCAAGCAAGAAAAGAAUGGAUUGAAAUAGUUAAACUGUUGAUAGAAAAGAAACACCAACCUAGAAUUCUGUACCAUAAAAAUUAUCUUUCCAAAGUGAAAGAAAAAUAAAGACUUCCUCAGACAAAUAAUAAUUGAUGAAAUUUGUUGCCAGUAGCUGCCUUGUAAUAAAUAGUAAAGAAAUUUCUUUAGAAAGAAGGAAAAUUUUAUAGGUUAGAAACCUGAAUGAAGAAAGAACAUCAAAGAAGGAAUAAAUGAAGUAAAAUUAAAACUUAUUUUUCUUACUCUUAAUCUAACAAAUAAAAUUUUGUUCAAAAUAAUAAUGGCAAUAAAUUCAAUUAUAUAUUCUAUUAUGUAUGUUGAUAUAUACAUAAUUGAUAUGGUUUGACCCUGUGCCCCUACCCAAAUUUGACCUUGAAUUGAAGUAAUCCCCUUAUGUCAAGGGCAGGACCAGGUGGAGAUAAUUGAAUCACAGUGGCGUUUUCCCCCAUACUGUCCUCAUGAUAGUGAGUUCUCAUGACGUCUGUUGGUUUUAUAAGGGGCUUUCUCCCCAUUCACUCUGCACUUCUCCUUGCUGCUGCCAUGUGAAGAAGGAUGUGUUUGCUUCCACUUUUGCCAUGAUUGUAAGUUUCCUGAGGCUUCCCCAGAUAUGCUGAACAUGAAUCAAUUAAACCUUUUCUCUUUAUAAACUAACACAGUCUCAGAUAUGUCUUUAUUAGCAGUGAGAAUGUACUAAUACAAUAAUCAAGUAUAUUGUACUUAUAUAUGUUUAUGUGUAUGUGUAUAUAUACACAAAUGAAAUAAAUG
rnacentral:lncRNA from 1 species